rnacentral:rRNA from 1 species
UACGUAGGUGGCAAGCGUUGUCCGGAUUUACUGGGUGUAAAGGGCGUGUAGCCGGGCUGACAGGUCAGAUGUGAAAUCCGGGGGCUCAACCCCCGAACUGCAUUUGAAACUGUUGGUCUUGAGUAUCGGAGAGGCAGGCGGAAUUCCUAGUGUAGCGGUGAAAUGCGUAGAUAUUAGGAGGAACACCAGUGGCGAAGGCGGCCUGCUGGACGACAACUGACGGUGAGGCGCGAAAGCGUGGGGAGCAAACAGG